rnacentral:rRNA from 1 species
UACGGAAGGGGCAAGCGUUGUCCGGAAUCAUUGGGCGUAAAGGGCGCGUAGGCGGUUCUGUAUGUCUACCGUGAAAGCGUACGGCUCAACCGUAUUUUGUCGGUGGAAACUGCAGGACUUGAGGCUGGGAGGGGCUGGUGGAAUUCCCUGUGUAGCGGUGAAAUGCGUAGAGAUGGGGGAGAACACUCGUGGCGAAGGCGGCUCACUGGCCCGGUACUGACGCUGAGGCGCGAAAGCGUGGGGAGCAAACAGG